GCUCCUUCUGCUCAGAGGUUACAGGGCAAGGUCGCCUUGAUAACCGGCGGUGCUAGUGGCAUCGGUGAGAGCACUGCCAGGCUCUUUGCCAGACACGGCGCAAAGGUUCUGAUUGCAGAUGUCCAAGCUGAGUUGGGUGAUUCAGUAUCCAAACAAAUCAGUUCAGAAUCAGGCCAAGAAGUUUCCUACCUCCAAUGUGAUG
rnacentral:misc_RNA from 1 species